UGAGAUCAGGAUGCUCUCUCCUCCUCCCUGAGCAUUCUGUAAUCUAGCGGCGACACUCUCCUCCUCCCUGUGUCGCCGCACCUAAUUCGAGAUCAGGAUGCUCUCUCCUCCUCCCUGAGCAUUCUGU
rnacentral:ncRNA from 16 species